CAGUAGCCGCGGGAAUACGAAGGGGGCUAGCGUUGUUCGGAAUUACUGGGCGUAAAGCGCACGCAGGCGGCUCGAUAAAUUAGAAGUGAAAGCCUUGGGCUUAACCUGAGAAUUGCUUUUAAGACUGUCGAGCUAGAAUCCAGAAGAGGGUAGUGGAAUUCCGAGUGUAGAGGUGAAAUUCGUAGAUAUUCGGAAGAACACCAGUGGCGAAGGCGACUACCUGGUCUGGCAUUGACGCUCAUGUGCGAAAGCGUGGGGAGCAAACAGGAUUAGAUACCCCAGUAGUCCCUGUCUCUUAUAC
rnacentral:rRNA from 1 species